rnacentral:rRNA from 1 species
CCUACGGGAGGCAGCAGUGGGGAAUAUUGCACAAUGGGGGAAACCCUGAUGCAGCGACGCCGCGUGAGUGAAGAAGUAUCUCGGUACGUAAAGCUUUAUCUGCAGGGAAGAAAAUGACGGUACCUGACUAAGAAGCCCCGGCUAACUACGUGCCAGCAGCCGCGGGAAUACGUAGGGGGCAAGCGUUAUCCGGAUUUACUGGGUGUAAAGGGGGCGUAGACGGCAGCACAAGUCUGGAGUGAAAUCCCGGGGCUUAACCCCGGAACUGCUUUGGAAACUGUGCGACUGGAGUGCAGGAGGGGUAAGCGGAAUGCGUGGUGUAGCGGUGAAAUGCGUAGAUAUUAGGAAGAACACCGAUGGCGAAGGCAGCUUACUGGACUGUAACUGACGUUGAGGCUCGAAAGCGUGGGGAGCAAACAGGAUUAGAUACCCUUGUAGUC